rnacentral:lncRNA from 1 species
GUUGAAAUUAUUAUCAACUUCUGAACAUCUUUACCUAUGUUUGUGGUUUUAACUAUAAAAGGAAGUUCCAAUGAUCUGGAGGUAACGAAAAACUACAGCCACAUUAGUGGCAUUAUCUUUCUGUAUCAGCACAUUCUUUUCUUUCUUUGCAGUAAAUUGAGUUCACUCUUGAUCACACACCACUUUAGACUCUCUAAAGAGUUCCAUUUUCUCUCAGGCACAUCAAUAGUGUGGAAUGCACACCAACAGGUCAAAACCAAGAGUCCAUAGAAAUGAAUCAACAACAGUGGCUUGAAGCAGAUUUAUUGGAUAUUACUCCUUUCGACCUAUGCCUUUGCUGCUGCAAUUUAAGGCCUUAAACUCGGAAUGAACCAUGUUUUUGUUUUCCACUAGUAUUAUUAUGCAAUGUGGAUCCCUCAUGUCUGUGUAACUUUUUCUUUUUGGUUGAUACUUGGUAUCUGCUUUGUUUUGUGCUAAUUUGGCCAUAGAAUAAUUGAAGCAAUUGAGUAUGAUCGACAGUAGCUAAUUUCUUUCAUUAACAAAAUCUUCAAUUGAAUUGAGUCAUAUUUAGAGUGCAGAAAGCUCAAUUUUGUGUUGAAAUACACACAAAUUAUAGCAAUAGUCUGUCUAAAUCAUAAUAACACUAGUAAAUUACUAUUCAUUAGCAAGAACUUAAAACACUCUUCUUUACGGGACACCCUAAUCCAUAAUUAUUUAUCUACUAAUUAAAAAUACUAUAUAGUUUUUUUUUUCUUUCUGAAACUGCAUCUCUCCUUCUUGUUGCAUCUUUAUCAUCUUCAUCAAUUAUAUCUUCCUAUUGUUCAUGUUUUUAACUACUUGGAGUUCAAA